AUAUACUAAAGGAUGAGUGGUUUUUCAACCACCAUAUGCAAACCCUAAAUUCUUGUCCAAUCAAAACCAUACAUUUUUUCAUGUUGCCCAAUCACCAAAUGCCACCUCUAGGUUUCCAUUUCAUCUAACCUAAUUUGCUUGUCCUUUGUAACCCUAAUGUUCUAUCCAAUAUUUAAUUGACACUUAUUAUAUGCUUAGAAAAUCACAUGUUGUCAACUAGAAGCUUCUAUAUGGUUGCAAUGAUUCAGCCUGCAUCAAUUCUGUUGGACCUCUCCUUACACCAAUUGGAAGGCUCCACAAAACACAAGAUGGCAGCAAGUAAACUAACUGAAUGAGAACCCAGAUUUGGUUCAGCCCACAGAUUUCAUCUCUCUGUUAAGAAAGAAUCCCACCAAUUCCCCAAUCCUAUACCCUCAACAUUCUCAAACUCUUUCUCUCACCCUCCAUCUCGUCCUUCACAACCACCACCACCACCACCACCACCUGUGAGGAGUGGCCGAGUGAGAGAUUUUCCGGCGGGAGACAGAGAGUUCCGGCCGUGGAAGAGAGUUCCGAUCGAUAUAGAGAGUUCCCGUGGCGUUUUGCGGCAACACGGCGGUGGUUGGCGACGGCAGUGACGGAGCUUCUUUCUCCUUCUUUCCUCUGGUUCGAUCUUACUUUGUAUACAUUUAUUUGCUUCUUUUUUUUUUUCUGUUGCUUUUUUUUGUUGGUGAGAAUGGUUGAAGAUUGGAGGUGGUGGUGAUGUGUGCUGGUUAUGGUGGAUGGCUCUAUGAAAGAGGCAGCUCAGUUUCAAUUUUUGGGCUCUCAAUUUUAGGUAAAAGAUGAUUUGUUGAGUAUGUACCAGAGAAGGUAGACCUAUAUGAAGGCAUGGAUGAAGAAUUUAGAAAAUUAUGAUAAAGACAGUGAAAAAAAUCUGAAGUCAAGGUACUUCUUCGGAUGCUUCGAAGUUAUUACCAACAUGUUUCUCAGUACGAGAAUUCGCUUGUGACAAAAUUCUAUGGGGUACAUUGUGUCAAACCAAUUGGAGGCCAGAAGACUCGGUUCAUUGUGAUGGGCAAUCUUUUCUGCACAGAAUAUCCAAUCCAUAGACGAUUUGACUUGAAGGGAUCCUCACAUGGCCGCGCAACAGAUAAAACUGCAGAGGAGAUUGAUGAAACUACCACCCUCAAGGACUUGGAUCUCAAUUUUGUAUUUCGCCUGCAAAGCAAUUCGUACAAGGAUCUCAUCAAGAAAAUUGAGCGGGAUUGCGAGUUUUUGGAAGCUGAGGGGAUUAUGGAUUAUAGACUUUUGGUCGGCAUGCAUUUUCGUGAUGAUAAUACAGUUGACAAAAUGGGACUGUCACCGUUUCUUUUGCGCACUGCAAAAUAACUACAUUUGGUACCCCGCUGAUCACUUGAUCCAUGGAGGCUUUGUUUACAAGCACUGGUGUUCAAGCAUGUUCAAGAUUCAAUUCAUAUAAUGGUCUUUAUCUUUCUAGAAGCACUGUGGUGUAUUUUAAACACAAUAACAUGGAUUCUUUACAAGAAACUUUAGAGAACAUUACUUCUAAAUAUAAGCACACCAAGAAUUUGAGUCGUUAUAUUGUUGUUGAAGCUCUCAACCAGAACUCUGGCCAAAUAGCACCCUUAGAUGAUAUGGUGGGAACUUUUAACAUUUGAAAGAAUGAGACAGAUAGAGAAAAAUACUGAAACGGAUGGCUAUGAAUCAGAAAAUGGAACAAGGAUUUACAUGUAUAAUAAGGAGAUGCGCCUAAAAAUCACAGCUUUUAUUUUUCGAAGAUUAUUCCUCAAUCAGUUUGUUCUCGGUAUGGUUUAACGAUCGGUGUAACAGUCGCUCCAGCUGUUCGUGUUCUUGUAUGGAUAUGUCUUCCUGUUGCUUAUCCAAUUAGCAAGUUGUUGGAUUAUUUGUUGGGGCAUCGACACGAAGCCCUUUUCCGUCGAGCCGAGUUAAAACACUUGUAGAUUUACAUGGUAUCGAGGAUGGAAAAUGUGGUGAACUAACACAUGAUGAAACAACUAUCAUUGCUGGGGCACUUGAACUCUCUGAGAAAACUGCUGGUGAUGCCAUGAGUCCUAUAAAUGAAAUAUUUUCUAUUGAUAUUAAUUCAAAAUUUGAUAGGUAAGUCAUGUAUCACAAUAAUUAUAAAUUUUGGAAGUUCUGGAAGAGGCCUCACUAUGGAAUUCCAGUGUAUGUACUGCAAUUUUUGUUUGGGUGUGGGUGCAUACACUUGUACCAGAUCUAUUGUUCGUACAUUCAAAUUUCUACCGCUAUUUGUGAUUUGUUGUAGUGUGCUGCAGGUUGAGAAAUUAGAUCUUAUAACUGCUGCUAUGGGACAUGCAUUGGCCACAAAAGGAGGAUUCUGUACCAGAAGUGCGAGAGUUAUAGAUCAUCAAGUUCUUAUAAAAUUGGUACUGCAUCUGAAUCUGUAUAUGUAAAUGCAGCUUACAUAUUUUCCAAAAAAGAUCUUUCUCGGCCUGCUAUACAGCUUCCUUGUGCAAGCAAAGCUAUUGUAGGUGGAUUUUGAUCUAGCUUGAAGGUUUUGAUCAUCUGUUAUAAGAGGAUAAAUUGAGGCACCAUGUUGUUUUUGACACACUCAAGGGUGAUUGGAUGAUUGCCUUUGGAAAUUGGGAAUUUGACCCAAUGAAGCUUAGUAAUCCAUUCCCUCACAAUAACAGAAGUUCAGUUCACAUUUGGCAGGGCUAUGAAGAUAAAGUAGUACCCUCUCAAAUUCAAAGAUUCAUUUCAGAGAAGCAACAAUGGAUACAAUAUCAUGAAGUUGUAGAUGGUGGUCAUUUGAUUUUACAUUAUAGUGGCUUAGGCGAGGCGAUUUUGAAGGCACUUUUACUUAGGGAAGAAGAUAUUUCAUAUAAACCUAGAUCAUCAAAAUCUGUAUCUUAAUUUUGCCACGACUUUUAUCAUAGUCCAAUGUUUAUUAUUGGUUAAUUUUUUGGGGAAGUGCCAGAUAUGUAAAUCACAUUCUUUGGUUGAAAGGAGGAAAUUAUCAUAUACAAUCAUGUAUACUGUCUUUAUUCUUUUUUGAAAGAAAUGUUAGAAACAUGUUUUUUUUUUUUUUUUGCUAA